GUAGCAGGUACCAACAUUUCCUGGCCAGGUACCAUCUGUUGCUGCUGGAACCAGCUUUGCCUGCAGCCCCUGGAGAAGCAGAAGCUCCCAGGAAUUUGUGUACUGCCCAGAGGGCAGAAUGACCAAGCUGAGUACAGAUAUGUUCACCAUCCAGAGGAAAGGCGCUCAGCAUCUCCACGCCAUCCCCCUCCCUGCCGUGGGACGGAGGCAGCCAACAUUUCCCUGGCCUGGGCCGGCUGCAGCUAAGGCUGAGACAUCUGCAUAAGGCAGAAGGGGCCAGGUCAAGGCCUUCCUGGCAAGUGCCUCCCAGGGGACAAUGCCAGUCCCAGAAAGGGCAGCCCGUAAAGCCCUCAGGCCCAGUGGCCAUGCCUCACCUGACAGCUUGGGAGAUCCAGGCACAGCGGGAGAAGUGACUUGCCGAGGUCAUGCAGGGACACGGAGCCACUGCCCGGCUUCCUGACACCCCUUCUGCCCUACCAUGCUGAU